GCAAACUUGGUCAUUUAGAGGAAGUAAAAGUCGUAACAAGGUCUCCGUUGGUGAACCAGCGGAGGGAUCAUUACAGGGUGCAAAUCCCUUAAAACCGUGCGAAUAUACCAAUCUUUGCUUUGGCGGGCAGCCCCUGGGAGGGGCCGGAGCCGAAAGGUGUCCGCCAGAGGUAGUCACCCCGAAACGCAGCAAUACUGUCCGAGAACCGACAACAAAAAAAAAAACUUUCAACAACGGAUCUCUUGGUUUGGGCAUCGAUGAAGAACGCAGC
rnacentral:misc_RNA from 1 species